GUGGAUUAGAUACCCUGGUAGUCCUAGCUGUAAACGAUGCAAACUUGGUGUUGGUGGGGUAAAAUCCGCCGGUGCCGAAGCUAACGCGAUAAGUUUGCCGCCUGGGGACUACGGCCGCAAGGUUAAAACUCAAAGGAAUUGACGGGGCCCCGCACAAGCAGCGGAGCGUGUGGUUUAAUUCGUUGCUACGCGAAAAACCUUACCCGGGUUUGACAUAUAGGUAGUAGGGAUCCGAGAGGUGACCGACCCUUCGGGGAGCCUAUACAGGUGCUGCACGGCCGUCGUCAGCU
rnacentral:rRNA from 1 species